GGGGGGAGCGCCGGAUCUUGGGCUGUGUCCCCGGCGCACCGGCCCCGGGCCUGUGCUGCUGGAAUCGCUCCCGGGGCCGCGCAGCCUCCU
rfam:Canis lupus familiaris chromosome 2, whole genome shotgun sequence.